rnacentral:rRNA from 1 species
UACGUAGGGUGCAAGCGUUAAUCGGAAUUACUGGGCGUAAAGCGUGCGCAGGCGGUUUUGUAAGACUGUCGUGAAAUCCCCGGGCUUAACCUGGGAAUGGCGAUGGUGACUGCAAGGCUAGAGUUUGGCAGAGGGGGGUAGAAUUCCACGUGUAGCAGUGAAAUGCGUAGAGAUGUGGAGGAACACCGAUGGCGAAGGCAGCCCCCUGGGUCAAAACUGACGCUCAGGCACGAAAGCGUGGGGAGCAAACAGG